rnacentral:rRNA from 1 species
UACGUAGGGGGCAAGCGUUGUCCGGAAUUAUUGGGCGUAAAGAGCUCGUAGGCGGCUAGUCACGUCGGAUGUGAAAACCCGAGGCUCAACCUCGGGCCUGCAUUCGAUACGGGCUGGCUAGAGUACUGCAGGGGAGACUGGAAUUCCUGGUGUAGCGGUGAAAUGCGCAGAUAUCAGGAGGAACACCGGUGGCGAAGGCGGGUCUCUGGGCAGUAACUGACGCUGAGGAGCGAAAGCGUGGGGAGCGAACAGG